rnacentral:rRNA from 1 species
AUUGAACGCUGGCGGCAUGCUUUACACAUGCAAGUCGAACGGUAACAGGCCGCAAGGUGCUGACGAGUGGCGAACGGGUGAGUAAUGCAUCGGAACGUGCCCAGUCGUGGGGGAUAACGCAGCGAAAGCUGCGCUAAUACCGCAUACGAUCUAUGGAUGAAAGCGGGGGACCGUAAGGCCUCGCGCGAUUGGAGCGGCCGAUGUCAGAUUAGGUAGUUGGUGGGGUGAUGGCUCACCAAGGCGACGAUCCCUAGCUGGUCUGAGAGGAUGAUCAGCCACACGGGGACUGAGACACGGCCCAGACUCCUACGGGAGGCAGCAGUGGGGAAUUUUGGACAAUGGGCGCAAGCCAGAUCCAGCCAUGCCGCGUGCAGGAUGAAGGCCUUCGGGUUGUAAACUGCUUUUGUACGGAACGAAAAGACUCUGGUUAAUACCUGGGGUCCAUGACGGUACCGUAAGAAUAAGCACCGGCUAACUACGUGCCAGCCGCCGCCGUAAGAC